rnacentral:rRNA from 1 species
AUAUCAAUAAGCGGAGGAAAAGAAACCAACAGGGAUUGCCUCAGUAACGGCGAGUGAAGCGGCAACAGCUCAAAUUUGAAAUCUGGCCUCACGGUCCGAGUUGUAAUUUGUAGAGGAUGUUUUGGGUACCGCCGUGGUUUAAAUUUCUUGGAACAGAAUGUCAAAGAGGGUGAGAGUCCCGUCUUGGACCGCGGUAGGGCCUGUGUAAAACUCCUUCGACGAGUCGACUUGUUUGGGAAUGCAGGUCAAAAUGGGUGGUAAAUUUCAUCUAAAGCUAAAUAUUGGCCAGAGACCGAUAGCGCACAAGUAGAGUGAUCGAAAGAUGAAAAGCACUUUGAAAAGAGAGUUAAACAGUAUGUGAAAUUGUUGAAAGGGAAGCGCUGGCAACCAGACUCGUGCGCGGGGUUCCCCCUUGCUUCUGCUUGGGUUACUUCCCCGUGUCCGGGCCAUCAUCAGUUUCGGGGGCCGGUUAAAGGCCCUGGGAAUGUAUCUACUCCUUCGGGGGUAGACUUAUAGCCCAGGGUGUCAUGCGGCCAUUCGGGACUGAGGAACGCGCUUCGGCGAGGAUGAUGGCGUAAUGGUUGUCAGCGA